rnacentral:rRNA from 1 species
UACGUAGGGGGCAAGCGUUGUCCGGAUUUAUUGGGCGUAAAGAGCGUGUAGGCGGUUUGGUAGGUCCGCUGUGAAAACUCGAGGCUCAACCUCGAGACGCCGGUGGAAACCAUCAGGCUAGAGUCCGGAAGAGGAGAGUGGAAUUCCUGGUGUAGCGGUGAAAUGCGCAGAUAUCAGGAAGAACACCCGUGGCUAAGGCGGCUCUCUAGUACGGUACUGACGCUGAGACGCGAAAGCGUGGGGAGCAAGACGG